GAUUUUUCCCUCUGUUUUCCUUGUUUGGAUCAGUUCGACAUCUAAAAGAUGAAGAAUCCGAGUCUAUUACACGAUCAUAUCAGUCUUAGAAGAAGGGCUUCUUCAAAGAACAACGAUAUAGAUUCGCUUCCCUCUCGGACGCUAAUGAAGCGUUAUCCUGGAUAACAACCCUGGGCCAUGAGAUUUCACGCGAAUCUGGACACACAAGAGCAAGACAAGGAGCCUCCACCGCUUUCCAUUACCAUCUAUGGGAAGCCCACUCAGACGCCGACAUGCCGGCUCACUCGCAAGCGUGCACAGAAUCCAGUCCAAGCCUCGGCGUCCAGCAUUCAGGCUCCAGACGCACGAUGGUCGCGGAGCUCUAUCUAGGUUCUCCAGCAGAGGCUGAGAUAUUGACAGCUCUCUACAUUUCCUGGUUCACCUAGAACAGAGGAAGGCUGAGCUACAGUUUGUUCACUCAUUCAUUCUGC
rnacentral:lncRNA from 1 species